rnacentral:lncRNA from 1 species
UCAAACUCAAAACAAUGUCAUUCACUUAAAAUAAGAACAAACAAUCUUAAUACAUUCAAUUUCUUAUCUUGUAGCGGUAAAGAAACUAUGAAUGAUCAAAAUAGAAAAAAUGUGUUCAACAAUGGAAUAAAUAAGGCAGUUAAGCCGGUGUAUGUUCCCUAAUGCAAAAUGUGACAGCUUUCUGGAUCAGCGUGUCAUUCCUUGAACAAUCUCGCCAUUUGAAUGUGUAUGCCACUGUACACAUAUAGCGGUAGAUGGUUAGACGACAAAAAAUUGACAUGCCAAUUACAUAUCUUACUCACUAAGAUCUAAGUGACUAAAAUUCAAAAUAGAGACACAAUAGUAAAGCACCACGCCCAUGGUCCCGUCAUGUACCUAGUUCAGAUAUAAUAUUUCAUAUCACAACUAAGGAAUCAACUGAUAAGCAACAGCCUCGUUAGCAAGAGGAAUAAACUAAAGUAAUCCCUUUUCAAAUCCACCAAGCAGUUCAUGUAUAUGACGUCCUGGCAAGUCUAAAGUAGUAACACACCAACUCAAACACUAAGGAGUGGAUAAUUGAACUGAGGAUGAUGUCAAAUAUAUGUUUGGCAGUGUAACAAACAAGAUAAGUAGUACAAUAUCAACCCUAAAAGGGAUUUAAGGCUAAAUCUACCCACAGUGUAGUUUGUUUCAAUGAGGCUUCACAUUCUGAACCAUACCACCACAAUUUGUUCCUAGGUCCAAAAUUGCAGCUCUGAUUUUUAUCCAUAAUAUCACUUGAAACAAUACAACUAUUCAAAUAGUGAACGGAAGAACAACCUACAAGGUUACAACCAGAAUAUGUCUCGUUAAGGAGCAAUAAUAUUCUGGGUGAAAUAGUCUUAGGUGUAGAAUGUUUAGAUGGCUUCAACUGAUUAGUGUGUGUUAUUUCUCAGGCCUAUGGAGCAGAUAGGAAGGAACUCAGAGCUACACUACCCUGAGGGCUGUGUUUGCAUUUUUUGAUCACCUUUUCAUACGCACACGAGAUAAAGCUAUAAGUACAACAAAUAAUUGUGAUGGUAAAAUGAUUGGGCUUCAUCAAGCAUAGUGACUGAAAUGGUUUGUCUUAAAUGUAGGAAUUUCCUUCCUUGUCAAUGUUUCCUUUCUCUAACUGUAAACACUAUUCUCGUGUAUUUCCCGUUUUCCUCUAUUCUUCCAUCUUAGAUUGUAAUAAAUUCGGGUGUAGCACAACUACACAGUGUUUUUUCAACUUGAGUUGUUUUUACAUUCAAAUCACCAUUUUACGUCAUUACUUGAGUUGAGGGUUUUGCAAAACAGUCUCUCAACCUCCUUGAGGUAGGGAUGAGGUCGGGGUACACUCUAACUUUCUCUUGCUACACUUGUGAGAUUAUACUAGGUAUGUUGUUAUCACCAUUUUACCUCGUUUAUUCAUUAGAUCAUCUUAACAGUGUAAAUAGACGUUAACCUAUCUUGGUCCCCUCAGUAGUCACUACACCCUAGCAGGGUCCUAUCAACUUUUAUAAAUAAGAAAGCACAACCAGUUGUAUUAGUAAAGUCUCAAGUUAGAGUAAUCUUCUCUCCAAAAUUCUCUCUGAAGAGAACAGAAAUGAAACAGAUCCAACUAAGCAGCAUAUAGAAAACGGUAGUACCCGAGCUCAAGCAUGUAAAGCUUGAUGUAUAAGCAGAAUAUCAACAUUUUGUAUAAGCAGAAUAUCAACAUGAGUAGGCUAUAUGUCGAAAUCAUAUAUCUAAAGAUUAGCAUGUUUAUUAAUCACAAUAGAUAAACAAGAGUCAUCGAGCAAGUUGAACGAGCCUUCCCCCAUCACAGAACUAUCGAAAUACAAACUUUCAACAUAUAUUCAAAAGAAAUUAGUAAAUCAAAUGAAAUCCAGAAUGUAAAAAGACCAAUAAAAUCACAAACCCCAGAAUUGAGAAGCAUAAAACAAGAAUCAAUAGCUUGACAUUACACAUAUAACCAAGUAAUGGUAGUAUUUUUUGGACAGCCAGAGCUAGGUGUUUAAACAGUGGUACUUCCAGCACUAUGUUGUUGACAUUGGUAGGAAAAAUAAGGUCCCGCUGAGAAGGAAACUACAACCUAGGUACCUCAAAAUAAUCACACAGUUCUACUUAAUAUUAUUUAUAGCAAGGAUCUACAGAUUGCUUACUAAUGUCAUCAUAAAUUUGUGUUUUCUCCUGCCAUAAGGAUAUUUCUUUUCUCUAUAUAUGAAUUUUAGCUAGUGACCCCGUUCAAUGACUUAUAAUUCUAUUUGGUUAAGAGAUGUGUGAGAAGUGUAUGAAAUAUUUCCCCAUAUAUACACUGAUACUUUUCUUAUGGCAACAUUGAAAGAGGGAGAAGCUGCUGCAAAAGCUAAGGAAUCUAAGAAGAGCAAUCAUGUAUUUCUAUUUGUCCAUCAAUAGAAAUUUAUACUAUGUAUUUAUCUAUGUAUUAUUGAUUCUUAUAUCUAUGUAUUUAUUUUCUCAUAAUUUAUGUCACAGAGUUGGACCGAUAAGCUUGAACCCCAAGAAAAGAGAGCAACAUUUAGAUAACAAGGAAAAAAUAUAAAAGGCGGGCGGAAAGAGAUAACGAGUAGAACUGGACACAAUUCAGACACAAACAAUUAGCACACAAAGGUAUGACUUGAUGAGACUCUAAUUUUACAAUCAGAGCGCGAGUAAAUGGAUAAGUCAAGCAAGCAGAUUUGGUACCUUCACCGUGUAUCCAUUCUCAAGAACCUUCAACUGAUCAAGAUCUUCUCCGAGUUACAGGGGUCUUGGUUCUGAUUCUGAUAUGUUUUCAGAAACUUAUAAUCAUAGCUCUAGAUAUGAAAUAAGUGAAAGACAAUUGCUCAGUCAUACAAUAUAUGAAUGGAAAAUUGUAUUGAAAAUAUUACACAAAUAUAUUUCUUUCUUCAGUGGCUUCUCCAUAUCUGAGAUUUAAGACUUGUGAGUAGCUGAAAGAUUUAGGCUAUUAUGUAUCUGAGAUGUGGAAAAAUAGGUGGAAUUCUUGUAACCUGUACCCAAAGAGAGCUCCAGGGAAUUCUUCUACCAAGAAUUUCAUCCCUGUAAGAAAAGCUACCGCCUAAAAUAGAAGCAAUCAUACAGUUAUACUAGUCUGGCAUACUAUUGAAAGAAAAAAAAAGAGCAAAAUGUCUAAACCUACUUUCCCAUUUACGGGGAGAUCACAACAUAAACUUUUGACUCUGACAUAGUUUAGUACAACUUCUCUGUAUCUCCACCAGUUGUUCCCACUACCAAAGGUACUCCAGCUUUGUUGUAUAAUUAAGCAUUAUCUGCAAAUUCAUGGUGGAAAUAAGAACAUUGCAAUGGCUCAUUCCACACCGUCUUCUACUCUCCACUAAAGACAUGCGUAAAAGAUAUCACAGGAACCUACCUAUGCUGGUAAAGCUUAUUUAUAAGAACUUCAGCAUCAAGACUUUUUUCUAACAAAAUUAACCAAAAUAUUCAUAAUAAAACGGUUCUCCAUGUCUGCCUAUAAUACUUAGCUUCUAUUGGCUCCAGUAUUAUUCGCUUAUACCACAAAGGUUCCAAAACAUACUCAUAAUUUGCUAAGUUACAAUGUAGCAGGAUAUAGCAUACAAACAAAACAUAAGCUUCACAUUGACAUCAAACACGAAAUAUCAAAACAAUAAGAUCAAUGUAUCGCGGAAUUCAGCAGUUUAUCAAGAACAACACAACAGUUCAUCAGUUUGCUAAGUUAUAAUGUACUCCAAUGAAUAGAUGUUUAUCAAGCAUCUAAUCAAAUGCAUAUUCAAAUGUACAAAGACAGAAGACAUGAAAAAACUGAAAAGUUAUAAAAAUCUGAAGCCACCGGAAGUGAUGAUAAGGGUAAAAAGAGGAGAAAGAUGGAACACCUCUUGCCAGUAAUUUGUCUUCGGCGAGUGACGAGUGAAAUCAUCAUAUCGACCUCUUUGUUACCUCCGGCAAUUUGUAAAAAGCGUCAUUGCUAAGCCUAUCCCUUAUUGACCUCAUUGUUAUUGUCUCCACCAGCUGCUUAGCACAAAUGUUUGCUCUGAAUGGCCCCCCGCACUCGAUUCUUAGCACGGAACCCUAAUUAUACUUACAAACACGAAUUGAAGGAAAUUGAGGACUGAAAAUACCUAAGGCAUGGAUUUGGGGGAACUAAUUCGCUUCAGAGAGAGCGCCCAGCGAGGGAGAAGCAGAACGAGUGAUUUUCAUUUUUCUUAAUGAUUUGCACUAAUAAGGAGUAUCUUUUACCUGCAAAAGUAUAAAUGCCGCUAAUAAGUGACUUUAGGUUAUAAAUUAGCGGCAAUUAACUAAUUGCCACUAAAACCC